rnacentral:rRNA from 1 species
AGAGUUUGAUCCUGGCUCAGGAUGAACGCUGGCGGCGUGCCUAACACAUGCAAGUCGAGCGAUCUUCUUCGGAAGAGAGCGGCGGACGGGUGAGUAACGCGUGGGUAACCUGCCUCAUACACAUGGAUAACAUACCGAAAGGUAUGCUAAUACAAGAUGAUAUAAGAGAUUCGCAUGGAUUUCUUAUCAAAGCUCCGGCGGUAUGAGAUGGACCCGCGUCUGAUUAGCUAGUUGGUAAGGUAACGGCUUACCAAGGCAACGAUCAGUAGCCGACCUGAGAGGGUGAUCGGCCACAUUGGAACUGAGACACGGUCCAAACUCCUACGGGAGGCAGCAGUGGGGAAUAUUGCACAAUGGGCGAAAGCCUGAUGCAGCAACGCCGCGUGAGCGAUGAAGGCCUUCGGGUCGUAAAGCUCUGUCCUCAAGGAAGAUAAUGACGGUACUUGAGGAGGAAGCCCCGGCUAACUACGUGCCAGCAGCCGCGGUAAUACGUAGGGGGCUAGCGUUAUCCGGAUUUACUGGGCGUAAAGGGUGCGUAGGUGGUUUCUUAAGUCAGGAGUGAAAGGCUACGGCUCAACCGUAGUAAGCUCUUGAAACUGGGAAACUUGAGUGCAGGAGAGGAAAGUGGAAUUCCUAGUGUAGCGGUGAAAUGCGUAGAUAUUAGGAGGAACACCAGUAGCGAAGGCGGCUUUCUGGACUGUAACUGACACUGAGGCACGAAAGCGUGGGGAGCAAACAGGAUUAGAUACCCUGGUAGUCCACGCCGUAAACGAUGAGUACUAGGUGUCGGGGGUUACCCCCCUCGGUGCCGCAGCUAACGCAUUAAGUACUCCGCCUGGGGAGUACGCUCGCAAGAGUGAAACUCAAAGGAAUUGACGG